UACGUAGGAUGCGAGCGUUAUCCGGAUUUAUUGGGUUUAAAGGGUGCGUAGGCGGAUUUUUAAGUCAGCGGUAAAAUGUCCGGGCUCAACCCGGGCCGGCCGUUGAAACUGGGGAUCUUGAGUGGGCGAGAAGUAUGCGGAAUGCGUGGUGUAGCGGUGAAAUGCAUAGAUAUCACGCAGAACUCCGAUUGCGAAGGCAGCAUACCGGCGCCCGACUGACGCUGAGGCACGAAAGCGUGGGGAUCGAACAGG
rnacentral:rRNA from 1 species